CGUUUGGGGACAGGGGCCCACAGACGUCCGGGAUCUGUUUACCCAUCGAGGAGAAAUCGGCGGAAAUCCCCAACAAAAACGCUUCGCCCGUCCGUCGGUCUCUCUCCCUCUCUCUCUCUCCCCGCAGUUUGGAGCCAGAGGAGACGCACCAAAGCGAAGGCGAAGGAGAAACGAAAAUUUCAUACUCGAGAGAGACCAACUAUUAAGCAUCAAGCAAUAUUUCCUCGAUGAGCAGCUCUCUGUGAAACCCCUCCCCAUCUUUAAAAAUGCAGACAAGUUUCUAACACAGGAAGAAGCAACUUCCUCUGAACAGUGGAUAAACAAACAAAGUAAAUGGAGAAGUCACCAGAAGUGAAGAGAUCAUUUAAGAAGAUGUUGAAGAAUACUGGGCUCAAAAACCAAUCCUUGAGAGUCUCAACAUCUUUUUUACAUCGUGGCGACCAAAACUGAAUGCAAUAUUCCAAGUGUGGCCUUACCAACGCAUUAUAAAGUGGUACUAACACUUCACGUGAUUUUGAUUCUAUCCCUCUGUUUAUGCAGCCCAGAACUGUGUUGGCUUUUUUGGCAGCUGCUGCACACUGCUGGCUCAUAUCUAAAUGGGUGUCCACUAGGACUCCAAGAUCCCUCUCACAGUUACUACUAUUGAGCAAGGUACCACAUAUACUGUACCUGUGCAUUUUGGUUUUUUUGCCUAAAUUUACCUAAAUUUCCGCUACCGGUUUGCCAGAACCAGUCCGAACCGUCUGAAUACCACCUCCGAUUGUGCCCCACUGAGGUGAGUUCCCCACCCACUCUUCUGAUCUUCCAUAAGGGCCUGAAAAACUGAGCCUGCCAAUUGCCCAGGCCCACAACUGCAGUUCAUCACUCUGGAGGUGGACUGUCGGUUUAUUCCAUCUCUCCCCUUGUGCAUCUUGCUGCCUUCCUCCCCAUCUUUUAAUUGUAAACUAUUGUUAUUUUUAUUUAUUGAGUAAUGUUUUAUUGGCUUUGAACAUUUGUAAGCCACGUAGAGCAGAGGCCUACACCAUCUCUGGGCCAUAGCCCACUAGUGGGCCAUGACCUGUUUGCAACUGGGCCUCAGAAACAGAGGGCGAGCAGGUGCACGGGUGCAUGCAUUCCCACGUGCACAAGUGAGCACGUGCACACAUGCUCCAUUUAUGUGAGCGGCAGGCGUGCGUGCAUGCUGCUUGUGCAAAUGGAGCUGCGCGAGCAGACACGUGUUUGCCAGCCUAUCUCCUCUUCCCAGCGGUCCGCAAAGCCAGAAAGGUUGGGAAACUCUCACCUAGAUUCAACUCGACAGGAGAUGGGCAGCAUACAAGUCUAAUAAACAAACAAAAAUAAUAAUAAAAAGGGGCCCUCAUUCCAAAUAGAGUGUUCCCAUUUGGAAUUUGCUUCUGGGUAAUCCUUUUAAAAGGUAAAAGUUCCCCUCGCACAUGACGUGCUAGUCGUUCCCGACUCUAGGGGAGUAGUGCUCAUCUCCGUUUCAAAGCCGAAGAGCCAGCGCUGUCCGAAGACGUCUCCAUGGUCAUGUGGCCGGCAUGACUCAACGCCAAAGGCACACAGAACGCUGUUACCUUCCCACCAAAGGUGGUCCCUAUUUUUUCUACUUGCAUUUUUUACGUGCUUUCAAAACUGCUAGGUUGCCAUAUAUGGUGGACUUGUAAAAAAGUUAAAGUAUUUUGGAUUAAAGUAUGGUGGAUUAUGCAGAAUAUUUUGAAAAAGAAGAUUAAGUUUACUCCGCAGUUCUUUUUACUAGGAAUAAUUAUGGACUGUACAGUUAUAGAGACUAAAUUGAUUUUGAACUUAAUAACAGCCGCAAGACUUUUGAUUGCUCAAUAUUGGAAGAAAGAAGAAUUACCUACAAUUGAAGAAUGGACACUUAAAGUAUCAAAUCUGGCAGAAAUGGCAAAAAUCUCUGCUUAUUUGAAAGACUAUACACAAGAAAAAUAUAUUUUAGAAUGGAAAAUGUGGAUUGAUUAUAUUCAGAAUAAGUAUCAGAUAAAAAAAUAUCGAAUAGCAUAUGAGUAAAUUUAGGAAAUAUUUUGUAUUAGAUAUAUUUCUGAAGGAGAGGGGAAUUGAGAGUGUG